ensembl:lncRNA
UUUUUUUUGUUUGUUUUUUUUUUUCUGCGGGGAGUUAGUAUUUGCAGUCUACUUUGUUGCGUGGCAGGUUUUUUUUGCUUUUUUAAAUUUUUUUCAGAACAGGCCAAAGCUGUUGCAUGAUCAGCACAGUGCUGCUCACAACCCCCACGGCCAUGAAAUCUUGAGCAUGCACAGAAUUUGUGGGUGGUUUGAUUCUGUCUCCUGUUUACAUCAAAUUAACAGCAAAGCUUGUCCAGGUUAACUUAACACCAUGUCUGCCUUGCUUGAAUUCACGUGUCUUUGAGCCAGGAAUAAAUGUGGUGACCAAUCUCCUUGUGCCACUCUGGCAGAAAGGAAUGUCCUCAGGAAAGAGGGUUGGCAUUAAAACUGGCUUGCAGUUGUUUUGCAAAGAAUUGGAUGGUUUCAGCUGCUGCUGAUGGUGAGAAUGCCUCACAUCUGCUGAUGAAAGGCAGAAGCCUUCCUGUCUGUGAGCGUGGUGUGGUUUCUGUGGUGCUCUGUGAGGUUCCUCUUGGCUGAAUUGCUCAAGAGGCUCCACCAGUGGCACAGUUUAUCUUUCCACCCACUGCACCCUCACACCAGCCCUGGAACUCCUUUAACUCCGUUCUCUGAAGCUUUUAAGACUCUUCUGUGAUUGUUCUGUUGCAGUGUGCUGCUGGGAGCUUAUUGUAAAUGCAGGUGAACCCAAUGGGAAGAAAUGACGAUGUGUGACUCAAUUCAGAAGGCUGAAUGAUUAUUAUAACUAUGCUAAAAUACAUCAAUAUACUAUAUAAAAGGAGGAUACUCAAACUACAUACUACUUUCUCUGACUCUGUCUCUAACACAACUCGUGACCCUCUCUGAGAGCCCAGCCCCAGGUGGGUUGGAUUGGCCAUCAGGCUCAAACAAUCCUCACCAGAAUCCAACCAAGCAAUCAGCCCAGGUAAACAAUUCUCCAAACACAUUCCACAUGGGAAAAACAAGGAGCAGAAAUAGAAAUUGUUUUCUCUUUCAUUUCUCUCUGUGCUCCUCUAUGAAAAAUCCUGAGAGGGAGAGAAAUGUGCUUGCCACAGGAGCUGGCACUGCAGGCCUGACAGGAGUAACCUGCACCCUUAACCUCAGUCAGCUUGGCCAAAUAUUGCUGAAAAGGCUGAAAUUCAUCCCUUCCAAAGCAGGCCUGUGCUGGGGUGGCUGUACAUCCAUGACUCUGCUUCACAGCUUGCAUGAUCAUAUUUCUCACAAACUAAGGGUAUUUUACAGAAUCACAGAAUAAUGAGGUUUGAAGAGACCUCUAAGAUCAUCAAGUCCAGCCUAUGCCGUAACACCACAACCAGACUAUAGCACCAAGUGCCAAGUCCAGUCUUUUUUAAAACAUAUCCAGAGAUGGUGAUUCCACCACCUCCCUAGGAAGACAAUUCCAGUAUUUUAUUAUUCUUUCAGUGAGAAAUUUUUUCCUAAUAUCCAACCUAAUUGUAGCUCUACUAUUUAGCACUUUUGCUUUCGCUCUUUUUGCCUCUUCCCAGUUAUUUUUUCAGUCGUGUUUGCACAUUCAAAGUACUGAAUAGUUUUAAGGCAGAGUUCUCAUUUCCUCCUCAUUAUUUAUAGCUACACCAACCAUUGCAGAGACAGGGAAUCCCCUUGGUUUCAAGACCAAAGUUUUCUGCUUCCCCUCCUCGCCCUGCUGUGGUAUUUGUUGUAGCACAAGGUCUGUUCCCUAAAGGAAAAAACAGAGUUUCUACUGCUGGUAAUGCCUGAGCCACGAGUCUCCUGUGGCAGCAGCUAUUGCAGGUGGUUGCAGUGGUAGAAGCUGCUUGGGAGCAGGAGCCUGGUUACGAAAGUGAAAAAAUAGGAAUGUGAAUCCAGCUGGGGAAUUCUAAGCUGUGCACGGCUUGAACCCAGAUAACUUUGUGUCAGUGCAUCUACUGCCACAAAGGUGAUUCCUGCUCAGGUUUGCAGUGGGGCAGAAAGGGUUUGUAAAUUCCUGCCCCUUGUACCCUCAACAUUGAGAACGACCACCAAAUGGGCAAAACCAGACAAAAACCCUGCACCAAGAUCUGUGCUGGCUGAGUGUCACUGGUGUUCAUCAUGUGGCUCCUCAUGAUGGUUAGAGAACUUUGCAGAUGUCUCAGUUUUCCUUAAGCUUUCUCUGCAACCAUAAAAACAGAAUGAAUUUCUACAGAGCAGUCGUGUGACCCAAAUCUUUUGAUAUGGCUUUAAACAUCUCACUGUCUUGGAAUGAGUUUUGUCUUGCCGUGCCAAGGGAAAACGAUUCAUGUUGAUUUUUGCAGCUGUUAAUGAACAAAGCAUGGGAAGGUGAUACCCCCACCUCGGUGGCAGAGCUGGUGCUGCUCUGCCAUCUGAUGGCAGAGCUGGGACAGAACAAAGCUCCUGCCUUUCCCAAAUGUCACUGCAAGGGAUCCUGUCACUGGCUGUAGUUUAAUGGAAAUGAAGGAAAUAUCCCAUCCCUGUUCAUUGAAAUGAAAAAUGCAUAUUAUAUGGCUCUAUGCAGACAGUUACUACAUGUAUUAUGUUAUAUUGAUUAGUUGUGCUUUUGUAGUUAAAAUGAAGACUUUAGUAGUUAAAAAAAAAAAAAAAUAGAGACUCUGUAUGUGGGGGGAAGUUGUUUUCUUUUUUUUUAGGAAUGAGAUACUGGCUUCAAGGAACACCUAAAUCUUCCAAAGGAGAGGAAUUUAUGGCUUCUUAUCAGAAGAAGCUAAUUUCUUCAGGCCUUGCUCAGACUUGAAGAUGCCAGGGGAGUAAAGGAAACAGUUGACAUAUAACAGACAGAGUUUCUUGUUUAGAAUAGAAUGUAUGCAUAACCAUGAAGGAUGUAUGAAUAUGCAAGAAGUGUAUUGGUUUAAGGGUGAUUCCUUUGUUCACAAGGCAUGCUUUUCAUGACUUAGUGUCUGAGAGCAUCCGGACGUCCGUAAUUCUUUGCUUUUUAUUGUCUUGUAAUUGUCCUAACUCUAAACUUUGUUACUCUAAUUGUAUUAUUAUUUUUAUAACCAUUUUAUUAUUAUUAAACU